rnacentral:rRNA from 1 species
UUAAAUAGCCGCGGUAACUCUGACCGUGAUAAAGUAGCAUAAUCACUCGUCAUUUAAUUGGUGACUAGAAUGAAUGGUUUUACGAAUUUCCAACUGUCUCAGUAAUAAAAUUAAUGAAAUUAAACCAAUAGUGAAGAUGCUAUUUAUAAAUUGUAAGACGAAAAGACCCUAUCGNNCUUUACUAANCGCUUAAAUAAAUAAAUACUACAAAAUAUUUUAGGACAAAAAUAUUUAAGCUAAUUAGUUUGGUUGGGGCGACCACCUCUAAAAAAGUAUCAGAGGAGAUCUAACGGUUAAUAUUAAUAUAAAAAAGCCUAACUGCAUAUAAAUACAUUAAUCAGUUACAACAAGUAGGAUAUAAUGACCGUUGGGACUAUCUAAACACCUAACGAUUACAAAAAAAGUUACCGUAGGGAUAACAGGGUAAUAUUCUCGAAGAGUUCUUAUCGAUGAGAAUGUUUGCCACCUCGAUGUUGAAUUAUGAUAUCCUAAAGGUGCAAAAGCUUUUAAGGGUUGGUCUGUUC